rnacentral:rRNA from 1 species
AUGUGCUAGUUCUCACCUGGUUUCCCACUAAAGCUAAGCAGGGUUAAGCCUGGUCUGUACUUGGAUGGGAGACCUCAUGGGGAAAACUAAAGUUGCUGAUG